rnacentral:rRNA from 1 species
AUUGAACGCUGGCGGCAGGCUUAACACAUGCAAGUCGAGCGAGCGGCGGACGGGUGAGUAAUGUCUGGGAAACUGCCUGAUGGAGGGGGAUAACUACUGGAAACGGUAGCUAAUACCGCAUACCAUCAGAUGUGCUCAGAUGGGUUUAGCUAGUAGGUGGGGUAAUGGCUCACCUAGGCGACGAUCCCUAGCUGGUCUGAGAGGAUGACCCGCCACACUGGAACUGAGACACGGUCCAGACUCCUACGGGAGGCAGCAGUGGGGAAGAUUGCACAAGGGGCGCAAGUCUGAUACAGCCAUGCCGCGUGAGUGAAGAAGGCCUUCGGAUUGUAAAGCUCUUUCAGCGGGGAGGCGUUACUCAAAGACGAAGCACCGGCUAACUCCGUGCCAGCAGCCGCGGUAAUAC